rnacentral:rRNA from 1 species
GGAUAAUCUACCCUUAGGACCGGGAUAACCCUGGGAAACUGGGGAUAAUACUGGAUAGGCAAUUAUUCCUGUAAUGGUUUUUUGUUUAAAUGUUUUUUCGCCUAAGGAUGAGUCUGCGGCCGAUUAGGUAGUUGGUUAGGUAAUUGCUUACCAAGCCGUUGAUCGGUACGGGUUGUGAGAGCAAGAGCCCGGAGAUGGAACCUGAGACAAGGUUCCAGGCCCUACGGGGUGCAGCAGGCGCGAAACCUCCGCAAUGUGAGAAAUCGCGACGGGGGGAUCCCAAGUGCCAUUCUUAACGGGAUGGCUUUUCAUUAGUGUAAAGAGCUUUUGGAAUAAGAGCUGGGCAAGACCGGUGCCAGCCGCCGCGGUAACACCGGCAGCUCUAGUGGUAACAAUUUUUAUUGGGCCUAAAGCGUCCGUAGCCGGUUUAAUAAGUCUCUGGUGAAAUCCUGCAGCUUAACUGUGGGAAUUGCUGGAGAUACUAUUAGACUUGAGACCGGGAGAGGUUAGAGGUACUCCCAGGGUAGAGGUGAAAUUCUGUAAUCCUGGGAGGACCGCCUGUUGCGAAGGCGUCUAACUGGAACGGUUCUGACGGUGAGGGACGAAAGUUAGGGGCGCGAACCGGAUUAGAUACCCGGGUAGUCCUAACUGUAAACGAUGCGGACUUGGUGUUGGGGGUGGCUUUGAGCUGCUUCAGUGCCGAAGGGAAGCUGUUAAGUCCGCCGCCUGGGAAG